rnacentral:lncRNA from 1 species
AAACUACCUGCACAUGGUACACAGACAUACAUGCAUACGUGCAAGCAAAAUACAAAUACAAUAAUAGUAAGAUAAAAAUCUUUUUAAAUUGGGAAGACUAUCUUCAUGUUUUACUUUCAGAAUUUGAAACAGUUAUAUUUGUAUUUGAUAACGUCUACGUCAGUGUUGAGGGAUUUUCUUGCUGGAUUUAUACCACCAUGUAUACCAAGUGCAGCAAUGCAAGUAUAACUGCAGCAAUGCAAGUAGAGCCAUCUCUGAACACCUAAUUCUGAGACCCUUUCUCAGCGGCUUCUGGGCUAGGCUUAUAAUUCCUUACACCAAGAUGUAAUCUUUUGUUGCAUGUGGUGCCACUGGCCUUUAGUUCCCACUUAGGAGGCAGAGGCAGGCAGAAUUUAAAGCUAACCUGUGUGCGUAGCAAGUUCUAGAACAGCCAGGGCUACAUAAAGAGACCCUGUCAAACC